ACGGGUGAGUAAUACAUAGGAACGUACCUUUUGGUGGGGGAUAACCACGGGAAACUGUGGCUAAUACCGCAUAAUAACGCAAGUUUAAGGCAGGCCUCUAUUUAUAAGCUUGUGCCAAGAGAACGGCCUAUGUCCCAUUAGCUAGUUGGUUAGGGUAAUGGCCUACCAAGGCUACGAUGGGUAGCUGGUCUGAGAGGAUGAUCAGCCACACUGGGACUGAGACACGGCCCAGACUCC
rnacentral:rRNA from 1 species